rnacentral:rRNA from 1 species
GGCGGCGUGCCUAAUACAUGCAAGUCGAACGGUCUUUCUAUGGAAGCUUGCUCCACUGAGAAGAUAGUGGCGAACGGGUGAGUAACACGUGGGUAACCUGCCCAUAAGAGGGGGAUAACAUCCGGAAACGGGUGCUAAUACCGCAUAGUUUUCUUGAUCGCAUGAUUGAGAAAGGAAAGACGGCCUUUGUGCUGUCGCUUAUGGAUGGACCCGCGGCGUAUUAGUUAGUUGGUGAGGUAACGGCUCACCAAGACGAUGAUACGUAGCCGACCUGAGAGGGUGAUCGGCCACAUUGGGACUGAGACACGGCCCAAACUCCUACGGGAGGCAGCAGUAGGGAAUCUUCCGCAAUGGACGAAAGUCUGACGGAGCAACGCCGCGUGAGUGAAGAAAGGUUUUCGGAUCGUAAAACUCUGUUGUCAGAGAAGAACAAGUUGGAGAGUAACUGCUCCAGCCUUGACGGUAUCUGACCAGAAAGCCACGGCUAACUACGUGCCAGCCGCCGC